GAGAGAAGCUUGCUUUCUUUGCUGACGAGCGGCGGACGGGUGAGUAAUGCCUGGGAAUAUGCCUUGAUGUGGGGGAUAACCAUUGGAAACGAUGGCUAAUACCGCAUAAUGCCUACGGGCCAAAGAGGGGGAUCUUCGGACCUCUCGCGUCAAGAUUAGCCCAGGUGGGAUUAGCUAGUUGGUGAGGUAAUGGCUCACCAAGGCGACGAUCCCUAGCUGGUCUGAGAGGAUGAUCAGCCACACUGGAACUGAGACACGGUCCAGACUCCUACGGGAGGCAGCAGUGGGGAAUAUUGCACAAUGGGCGCAAGCCUGAUGCAGCCAUGCCGCGUGUGUGAAGAAGGCCUUCGGGUUGUAAAGCACUUUCAGUCGUGAGGAAGGUAGUUGCGUUAAUAGCGUAAUUAUUUGACGUUAGCGACAGAAGAAGCACCGGCUAACUCCGUGCCAGCAGCCGCGGUAAUACGGAGGGUGCGAGCGUUAAUCGGAAUUACUGGGCGUAAAGCGCAUGCAGGUGGUUUGUUAAGUCAGAUGUGAAAGCCCGGGGCUCAACCUCGGAAUUGCAUUUGAAACUGGCAGACUAGAGUACUGUAGAGGGGGGUAGAAUUUCAGGUGUAGCGGUGAAAUGCGUAGAGAUCUGAAGGAAUACCGGUGGCGAAGGCGGCCCCCUGGACAGAUACUGACACUCAGAUGCGAAAGCGUGGGGAGCAAACAGGAUUAGAUACCCUGGUAGUCCACGCCGUAAACGAUGUCUACUUGGAGGUUGUGGCCUUGAGCCGUGGCUUUCGGAGCUAACGCGUUAAGUAGACCGCCUGGGGAGUACGGUCGCAAGAUUAAAACUCAAAUGAAUUGACGGGGGCCCGCACAAGCGGUGGAGCAUGUGGUUUAAUUCGAUGCAACGCGAAGAACCUUACCUACUCUUGACAUCCAGAGAAGCCAGCGGAGACGCAGGUGUGCCUUCGGGAACUCUGAGACAGGUGCUGCAUGGCUGUCGUCAGCUCGUGUUGUGAAAUGUUGGGUUAAGUCCCGCAACGAGCGCAACCCUUAUCCUUGUUUGCCAGCGAGUAAUGUCGGGAACUCCAGGGAGACUGCCGGUGAUAAACCGGAGGAAGGUGGGGACGACGUCAAGUCAUCAUGGCCCUUACGAGUAGGGCUACACACGUGCUACAAUGGCGCAUACAGAGGGCUGCCAACCAGCGAUGGUGAGCGAAUCCCAAAAAGUGCGUCGUAGUCCGGAUUGGAGUCUGCAACUCGACUCCAUGAAGUCGGAAUCGCUAGUAAUCGUAGAUCAGAAUGCUACGGUGAAUACGUUCCCGGGCCUUGUACACACCGCCCGUCACACCAUGGGAGUGGGCUGCAAAAGAAGUGGGUAGU
rnacentral:rRNA from 1 species